rnacentral:rRNA from 1 species
CUUUGGUUUAAUUCUGGCCAUCGGAGGGUUUUUAAUUGUUUUCCACAUAAAUAUGUUAUGUUAGCUUUUUCGUGGAUAGUGUUUUGUUCCUCGAGUUUAGUGGUAAGAUCUUGUUUUAUAUAGUGAUAUAGUUUAGGGCAGUUGUUAUUUGGGGUGGAUAAUUCGCAGUGCCAGCAUCCGCGGUUAUUCUGCUUAGCCCCACUCUCUUUUUUUGGUUUAAAUUGUUUUGGUUAGAGAAUGGAAUAGCUGCAAUAGGUUUUUUCCUGCUUGAUAUAUUAAUCAAUUCGCGUUUAGAUUGCUUUUAUAGGAUAGAGAUUAGAGACCUCUUUACUAGGUUUGGAUUUUUUUCCAUGGUUUUAACUAAAAGGAUUUGGCAGCUGAUGAUUUUCGUCCGGGGGAGUGUGCUUUUUAAACAGAUAGUACGCUUAUGAGUUUUCCAAGUUUAGAUUAGUUAGUGUAUAUCCGGUUUAAUAUUUGUGAUUAGUUUCUUAAUAAAUGCAUUAUUAUUAUGAAUUUAAGUCAGGUCGAUGUGCUGCUAAUGGUUUGGGUAAUUGUGCAUUACAUUAUAAAGUUUAGAAUUGUAAGUGGUUUUUAAUUGAUUUAGGACUCGGAAGUAGGAUUUCUUUAGUAUGGAUUUUCGAAUAUGAUUUAGUUGGGGUACACAUCGCCCGUCAGUUUCAAUGUUAAUUGGGAUAAGUCGUAACAUGGUAACGGUUGGGGAACCAGCCGUUAGUUGGUU